rnacentral:tRNA from 1 species
GGCCCCGUAGUUCAACGGAUAGAAUGUAGGAUUCCGGUUCCUAUGAUGUGGGUUCGAUUCCCGCCGGGGUCACAA